rnacentral:rRNA from 1 species
CCCUUAGACGUUCUGGGCCGCACGCGCGCUACACUGACGAAUGCAACGAGCUUAUAACCUUGGCCGAAAGGUCUGGGUAAUCUCCAAAUUUCGUCGUGAUGGGGAUAGAUUAUUGCAAUUAUUAAUCUUCAACGAGGAAUGCCUAGUAAACGCAAGUCAUCAGCUUGCGUUGAUUACGUCCCUGCCCUUUGUACACACCGCCCGUCGCUCCUACCGAUUGAAUGGUCCGGUGAAGCGUUCGGACCGCUUCCUUUGGACGGGCAACCGUCUGUUGGUCGUGGGAAGUUCGUUAAACCUUAUCAUUUAGAGGAAGGAGAAGUCGUANCA